rnacentral:snRNA from 1 species
AGAAGAAAUCCGCUAAUGGCUGUGGGGGUUACUCUAUGGGUCAUCAUCAUGGUGGAUCUGACAGGCUAAGUGAGUGUCCACUUCCUCUGGUCACUGCUCCAUGUGGACCCCUCUGAAGCUGUGCACAUGGUCAUANAGGAUGACCUUCUCAGGCAGGGGAGAACUGCUCUUCAGUCUAGAGUCUAACAGUAGCUGCCCUGCCCUGCUGGAAUGUCCAUACAAGGUCUCAACCAUGUCUCUACCUGUUCCCUCUGCCAGCUAGCACAUUGCCUCUUCACGUCUCUAAUACCUUAAUCCUUUCCAAGCACUUCUGAUGUAGGCAGACUUGUUCUGAU